UGUGUGGAGGAGAGUGAGGGUACUGUACACUAUCUGGUAACCCUUCCAUACUCUCACAUU
rnacentral:pre_miRNA from 1 species